rnacentral:lncRNA from 1 species
CUUGGAGAUACAGGUCUGUAAGAGCUCAUGUGUUUACCAUACAUGACAUCUACCUGCAUCAUUUCAUCCAGCUCUCUGUUGCAGGCAGCUGCUCCCCUGUGAUGUGUAACCUAGGAUUGUGGUUUGAAAGUGGUACUAUUGAUGGUUUGUUUCUUCAGUUUCUUUUAAAUAAUACUGAAUGGAAGAAACAGCAAAAAUAACUUCAGACUGAUUUCUCAGAACAUUUUUUUAAUGUCAUUAGGUGAGAGAAAACUGGACAUGUUCAGCCUGGGGAAGAAACAGCUUUGUGGGAAAAUGAAGAGAAGCUUUCUGAUAUUUGUGAAGAAGUCAUCGGGGAUGGAGCCAGGCUCUUUGCAGCACACAUUUAAAUAACACAGGAGCUUGAUGGCAAGGCUUGCUGACAGAUGUGUCCUGGAACUAGCAAUGUGAAGGGCUUCUUUCAGCUCUCCUGGCUUUAAAGAAGGAAGCUCUUUCAGAUGGUAUGAGUAAUUCCUAGUAAUGUGAAAGGAAGUUAGCUCAGCCUUUGCCCCUUCUCUCUCCUUCCCAUUGAAAGAGUUGCCUACGUGUGACUCUCCUACAGUUCAUGGAUGUGGUGGAUACAGGUCAGGGAAGCUCCUCAUAAUUCCUUUCUAGAGGACACCGAUGUUUAUUAUAACCCAUGUUGCUUCCAGUGAACAUGGCUUAUGGUGUAUGCAGCACACAUUCUCAAGAGGUCUUCCUUUUUCUACAGUGCAUUUACAGGCAAGAUCUUACAAGACUCCCUCAUCUUGUCUAAAAAGAUCAAAGAACCAUCAUUCAUUUAAAGGAAUGAGAAGCUACUUUGUGCUCCACAACACCUUUAAGCCUAUGGCUUUUCUCCAAGGGAGGUAGUUCUCUGGUGUUUCUAGUGAAACGCCAUGGCUGCUUGUUCACAGGAAACUGAUUUGAAAUGCUUCUCCCCGGUACUUCAUAAAUGCCAUCCACACCAUACGUGUAAGAGCAAAUGACUGUCAAGGAAAGCUGUGCAUAGAAAGGUGAAGAUGGAUUUUGACUCUAGCUUUAUGAUAGAUGUUUAACAGAGAUGCAUAGACUUUACUUCAGUGGUAUUACUGGAGAGAAAGAUGAGAAGUAAAACAAACUGAAAAGUGUGGUUAAAGGUGGAGUCUUUUAGUAGGGCAGCUUUUUCCUUCUCUGCAUUUCCCAUGUGUUCUGUAUUUUCUUGCUUCUAACACCUUGAAGGGAAAAUGCAAACUCUCAAUGGAACAUUUUUUAAACUGGAUUUUUUAGAUAGCCACGUGUCUGUAAUCAGGGAAUGCCUGAGAUCCAUAUAAAUGCAGUCCCUCCUAAUUGAAGAGCUAUCUUGAACCCUGCUUAAGUUGCUUAAAAGCAGAAUGCUUUGAGAACAAUUUGUGAGUUGAGUAGAGGGAGCAGGGAUUUUCUGGGGCAGUGAUCUGAAAACUAGAGAAGAUGGGGGAAUUUUUUGACCAAAGUGAAGUAUACCAAAUCAUCAAAAUCAAUCCAGUACAUAGAACUCAGCUGAUUUUUGAUUAAUUUUCUAAAUUAAAGAGUUGAUUGUGUUUUCCAGAAAACCAAUGGAACGUGUAGCUUUAUUCAGUUUCAGUAGUUUUUAGUUUAUUUCUUUUUACAUGAAAAUGACUUAAUAAUUCAAAAGACCCCAAAGGUUAAAAUCAAAGUGAAACACUGUAUUCAAUUAAAGACAAUUUUUAAAAUAUAUUGCCAGCUUAAGCACAUUUUUGAGAUUUUAAGUUUUUGUGUUGUUGUGGAAGAUGACAACAAAUCUCUUCCAGAACACCAUAGGUGAGAUAAUUAUUUCCCAGUAGCAUUAAAUGAGACAUGGGAGUCCAAGACAUUCUUAUUUAGUUUACUGGGCUGAACAAAACAGAAGCCUAUAUUACAUGGCUGACUACUGCUGCUUAGGCCCACGUGUAGGGGAACUUUCAACUCUAGCUACAGUACUGCUAAUUUUGAAGACUGUGUUAUAAGCAGUUUGUUUUUUUUCUCCAGAGGAAGGUAAACAAUUGUGAUUUAAUUUAAUAUUGCCUUUUUGAAUGUCUGUUUGCUUUUUAGUUUUAUAGCCUGUACAGUACAAGUCCAAAGUAUUUUCCGCAAAUAAAAGUGUUAGAAACUCUUCUGUACCUGUGAAG